UGGUCCUUCGCCGAGCUGCUGCCGCCCGCGCGGUGCGCGCCGCUGGAGCUAGGGUGGACCUUGGUGCCCCGCUCCUGCGGCCGGGCACUCGGGAAAGUUGCGGGGCCGAGGAGACUGCUAGAGGCGGGGGCGUGGGCCUGGCAGCCCGCGGGGAGCACACGGAGAUGAGAAACAGAUGUCGGAGCUGGACUGAGCCUUUGCGCUCCCCCGCCCGUUCGAUCCCUUCCCCAGCAGCCUGGGUGUAACAAGGCAGCACUCAUCCUGCGGCCACGUGAACUGGCAGCUACUGGGUGCGGAUCCCGUGGGGGAAACCUACAAGAAAAACAAACAGACAAACAAACAAAAACUAAUAAAGAAGCUUGCCCUUAGUGGAAAGGCUGUGACAG
rnacentral:lncRNA from 1 species